AGGGUGAUGGUUUUUGUACUCCCAAAGGUCAAUUUGAGCCUCCUGUUGCCAUGGGUAAUAAUUCUAUUAAGGAUGGUUCUUUUUGUGCUUCCCAAGGUCAAUCUGAACCUUCUUCCGCCAUUGGUAAUCAUUCCAUGAAGGGAAGUAACACACCUCAGUCAAUGCCUUUAGUCUAUCCCACUCAGACAUCGUUUCAGGAGUUGCUUUGAGGUACUAGUGUUCAACACUUUGCAGUCUAAAUGUCGCAAGCCUCACAUAGUCCUGCUGACAAUCAUGUAGAUGGACAUCCCUGUCGCAAGCCUCACUAGUGUUAUUAUACUUUCAAAUUUGGGUGUAUUUCUUUAUGUUGUUUGGAUUUGGGUCAAUUUUUAUGUUAUUUUUUGCAAUGGGAACAAUGUUUGGAAAGGAUUUACAGUUUACUUGAGAUCAGAGUCAGGUUCUGUAGGUGGAGAUUUGAUGGAUUGUGAGAAUCUGUGAGAUUGUUCUGUCAAUUUUUUUCAAUGUUCUGUUUCAUGCUAUGUAGACCUACA